ACACCUCCCUCAUGGCUGCUGUGUUUAAAGCCAAUGCAAGAUGGAUAUAAACAGUGUAGCAGGUGAACCAGUGGCCACUGACUGACUACAACAACAGUAUAUCACAGCAGUCUUUUUAUAAACCAUAUAAUACCACAAAAUAUUAAAAACGUGAUUUUUACGACAUACAGUACAACCUUAUCUUUAAGAGUAAGAAAGUAGAAUAAAAACCUCAACUGUACCUUUUAAAACCCAUUCAUGUCAGUGCUGCCACUUCCAGACGCUGUUUAAACACGGGAGCAGGUCUUCACUGUAAAAAAAAACAAAAAAUAAUUAGCUCCCUCUUCACUGAAAAACGAUGGAAGUCCAGAAACCUCGUCCCUGUCACUGCUGUCGGUGCCAUGUUUAAAGUGAAAACAGACCCGGUUCUACUGCACGUGGGACCUGGAUCCAGGUCUCUAGAGCUUCACACUGUUUAAAAUGCACUGUCACAGAAUCCCCACGAAACAACACAGCAGCUUGGACUCAACUCAUUUCAUAAGUGUCACUGUUUCCUUACAAUGAACGGAGGCCUCGCUACAGACCACACUGAUCUGCAGCUCCUUCAGCAUUAGUUAUUAUUAUUAUUUUCAAUCUGGUGGAUUAAAUAUUUGAUCAACCGGAGGUUUGAGGGAAACUUUGAUGCGUUUAGAAACGCUGGUUAGUGUCACUGUGGUUCUGCAGGCGAACGUUCUCCUGCACCUCAGCUAACCCGCUAGGCAGGUUAGCGGAUGCUAACGGAACCUGUAAGCUAACCUGAAAACAGGCUAUUUACAGCAACAGCGGCUGAAUACGGCAGAUAUGCACGUGUUUCAGUGUGAAACCUGCCAGCAUUUCUCAUGUUUAUCAUUUAAAGACACAGGUGCGUAAGUUGCGUUCACGGACCCAGCCGUGUGAAGGACAUCGGAGCACUGAAACCCCGACGUCUUCAUCUGACCUGAUUACAGAGAAAACUGACAGCUGUGACGUUCGCCGCUCUUUGUUAUGGAUAAAAUUACCAUCAUAUGCAGAUGAGGGUUAUUAGAAGCUUUAGUGUUGUGUAACGAGCUCCCACGCAAGUCAACAGUCCAUCACGGGGCCAACACAUGGAGACACAACCUCACACAUGAAUGGGCCCAUUCCAGUUGUACCACAACUGCAUGUGUUUGAACGGUGGGAGGAACUGGAAAACCUGUAAGAAACCAGCAGACACAGGGAACAGUGAAUGUCAUGUGUCAGGUCCCAGCGCUGCCUCCUCAGGCUUUGAGGACCCGAUUUGGGGACAACUCCGGCCUUUUGCACAUGAACUACCCAGACAUGCGUGACAUGCUGGUGGUUCAGUGACUGCACCGUCUGGGCACUUCCUCAGACGGUGUGACAGAAACGGGGUUUGGAACUGGUCAGACAGGACUUCAUUAGAGCAGAGGUGCAAAGCCAGCAGCUCAAGCUAACGUGACAUGAGGACAUCAGACCUGCUAGACAUCAGCUAAUCUUAUCGUCCUGUGUUAUGUCAGACACACCCAGGCCUUCUUUAUGCAUCUGUGCUGAUCAGAUUCCUUCUGGAUGAAUUACACAAGAGUGAGCGUUUAACUACAGU